AUUGAACGCUGGCGGCAGGCCUAACACAUGCAAGUCGAACGAGUGGCGGACGGGUGAGUAAUGUCUGGGAAACUGCCUGAUGGAGGGGGAUAACUACUGGAAACGGUAGCUAAUACCGCAUACCAUUAUAUGUGCCCAGAUGGGAUUCGCUUGUUGGUGGGGUAACGGCUCACCUAGGCGACGAUCCCUAGCUGGUCUGAGAGGAUGACCAGCCACACUGGGACUGAGACACGGUCCAGACUCCUACGGGAGGCAGCAGUGGGGAAUAUUGCACAAUGGGCGCAAGCCUGAUGCAGCCAUGCCGCGUGUAUGAAGAAGGCCUUCGGGUUGUAAAGUACUUUCAGCGGGGAGGCGUUACCCGAAGAAGAAGCACCGGCUAACUCCGUGCCAGCAGCCGCGGUAAUAC
rnacentral:rRNA from 1 species